GGCCGCAUGGCCCAAUGGCAAGGCGCUUGACUACGAAUCAAGAGAUUCCAGGUUCGACCCCUGGUGUGGUCA
rfam:Diplodia corticola strain CBS 112549 scaffold17, whole genome shotgun sequence.